CCCCCCCCCCCCCCCCCCCCCCCCCCCCCCCCCCCCCCCCCCCCCCCCCCCCCCCCCCCCCCCCCCCCCCCCCCCAAAAUAUCCCAAAAAAAUAUCCCAAAAAAAUUAUCUCCCCCAAAAAAUCCCCCAAAAAAUAUCCCAGAAUGUCCAUGGGAACCACAAAAUACCCAUUUUUGCCCCAUUUUUGCCCCAUUUUUGUCCCACUUUUGUCCCAUUUUGUCCCAUUUUUUGCCAUUUUUGCCCCAUUUCUGCCCAUUUUUGAGCCAUUUUUGUGCCAUUUCGGUUCCAUUUGGCGCAGUUCUUUUACCCAUUUUUUCCCGUUUUGUCCCAUUUUUGUGCUGAUUUUUACCCAUUUUUAUGCCAUUUUUCCCCAUUUUUUCCCCACUUUUUGCCAUUUUUGCCCAUUUUCCCCCGUUUUCACCCCAUUUUCACCCCACCUUCCACAAUGACCUCGACCUCACCACCGUUGGUCAGGAUCUGGUAGCGCCCGGUGUCCUCCCUCCUUGCCCAAUUUUUCCCCAAUUUUUCCCCAUUUUUGCCUGAUUUUUUGCCCAUUUCCCCCUGUUUUUUCCCCA
rnacentral:lncRNA from 12 species